rnacentral:lncRNA from 7 species
CUUUUCUAAGAAUCUUAGCACAGAGAGGAAUGGCUGGAGCAAGGGGUUUUCUUUGUUUGCUCAAUGUGCCUGUGGGAGAGUGCACAAAGGGGAAGGAAGAGAUGUCCCAGUGCUGGAGCAGAGCGUGAUCUUGACUCGAGGCCUUGGAGGUGGGCCUUGUCCUUCUGCACGGUGGAGAGGGGAUGGCCACUUCAGCAUCUCCAGCAACAGCAGCGUUUCUGCUGAAGUCUCACAGGAGGAGGAUGGCUUCUCCCACCACACACUGCCUCACAGUGCUCUUGUCCUGGCCUGACCUGACUGUCAUGAAGCUUGCUAUGGAUUUUGUACCUGCGCUCUGACUGUUGGGCUGCAUCAGAACUUCUCUGCUCAAGAGAACCCGUUUGCAUCGCAGCUGUGAGCAAGUCCAGCUUCUCUUGUGACACACAGAAAACUGUGAUUCAGCUCAGGUAGCUCUCUUCGUUACAUGAUGACAAAAGGGUGAUGUGUUGCUGGCCCGCUGGGAGGCCACCCACGGCCCUCAGUGUCCCAGCAUGUUCCUGUGCAUGUGAACAUCCCUGAGGCUGCUUCCUGGAGAUGUCUGUCACAUCACACGGGCCAGUUCCACUACGUGCCAGUGAUCCAUGCUAUGGCUUUGGUAUUUUCUGCUGGACGUACUUUCCAGUGCAUCCUGGGAGCAUGCUUGUAUUGCCGUAACUGCAUCCCAUGGGCACCCCAAAUCAUUAAUCACCAGUGUGCUCUUUUCCUCUUCUGCUGGUUCCAGACGAGUUCCCAGUUCAUAGCGUAAGUUCCUGCUGUUAAUCCAUAAGCCAUAACCUUUAUAUUGGGUACUGUUCAACACAAUUAGAUUUCUGUUACAUGAUGUUCUUUCCUGCAGUUAAACAUGACUUGCUUUACUUAU